rnacentral:sRNA from 1 species
GUUGUGACGUGGUUCUUUUCUUAGAUCAUACAACCAACGUGGUAAUGCUGGCAUAGUAAUUUUCGGUUGCCAUUUUCUGACAUUUGAAAAGAUCUGAAGAUACGCCCCUUGGAUGCCUGCAGAGAAGCUCUGGGGUUUCAGUCAAUGACUCAGGGUAGCCACUGAACAUGACGCUCGCAGUGGGUGCCACCUGGACUCCACUCUCCUCUCUCUCUGGGAUCAUAGAGUCCAAGGUGUUCUGUGGCCUCUCGGCCAGUCCCAGCAGCUCAGCGUGCAGAAGACCGAGGAGCCAUUGGUCAGUGCAGGAGGUGCCUGGCGUUUUGGAGAUGGGAUGCAGAGGAAUUCAACACAACAUGAAAUAAUCGACAAAUUCGGGGAAUGUUAAUCUGACCAUUCCCAGUUACAAAUGAUGUUUCAUGCUACCUUCUAUUCCUGCCUUCAUAAAUCAAGCUCUAAAUCUCCAGGAAAAAAUGCGCUAAGAUCGCCAGUGAAAUGUCCUUCCAACUGUGGAUGGAAAGCAAGGACAGCAAAGCCUUCCAGACCUGCCUGUGACAUGCACUGCACAUUCUAAAGAUGCCUGUGCAAUGGAAAACACCACUGUCUCCUCCAGCACAGCUGCCAUUCUUCCAUCUUAUCGACCUUAAUGCAACAACUCCACACAGGCAGAGAUUUUAAAAUGUGUUCUUGGCAGAAGAGAGACUCAAAGAUGGGACAAAUGGGUCAUUUAAAUGCCUGUUAAAAUGGAACGGACAUAGUAUAGUCAGAGGAUUGUGGCAGCUAAGAACAUAGUCUCUGGAGCAAAUCUGCAUGGGUGGCAACCCCAAGCACUUGAGGUCCUAGUUGUAUGAACUUAGGAAAAGAAAAAGAGAACAUAUAUCCCCCUACCUUUUGAUUUCCAACAGUCUACUGAGAGGCCAACAUUAUUUGCAGGGAAAGAAAAGGGGAAUGCCAUCCCCACCCUCUCGCAGCUACAUGCCAGUUCCAGAGCAC